UAGGGAAUCUUCGGCAAUGGACGGAAGUCUGACCGAGCAACGCCGCGUGAGUGAAGAAGGUUUUCGGAUCGUAAAGCUCUGUCGUAAGAGAAGAACGAGUGUGAGAGUGGAAAGUUCACACUGUGACGGUAUCUUACCAGAAAGGGACGGCUAACUACGUGCCAGCAGCCGCGGUAAUACGUAGGUCCCGAGCGUUGUCCGGAUUUAUUGGGCGUAAAGCGAGCGCAGGCGGUUAGAUAAGUCUGAAGUUAAAGGCUGUGGCUUAACCAUAGUAGGCUUUGGAAACUGUUUAACUUGAGUGCAAGAGGGGAGAGUGGAAUUCCAUGUGUAGCGGUGAAAUGCGUAGAUAUAUGGAGGAACACCGGUGGCGAAAGCGGCACUCUGGCUUGUAACUGACGCUGAGGCUCGAAAGCGUGGGGAGCAAACAGGAUUAGAUACCCUGGUAGUCCACGCUGUAAACGAUGAGUGCUAGGUGUUAGACCCUUUCCGGGGUUUAGUGCCGUAGCUAACGCAUUAAGCACUCCGCCUGGGGAGUACGACCGCAAGGUUG
rnacentral:rRNA from 1 species